CCUAACACAUGCAAGUCGAACGGUAACAGGAAACAGCUUGCUGUUUCGCUGACGAGUGGCGGACGGGUGAGUAAUGUCUGGGAAACUGCCUGAUGGAGGGGGAUAACUACUGGAAACGGUAGCUAAUACCGCAUAACGUCGCAAGACCAAAGAGGGGGACCCUCGGGCCUCUUGCCAUCGGAUGUGCCCAGAUGGGAUUAGCUUGUUGGUGGGGUAACGGCUCACCAAGGCGACGAUCCCUAGCUGGUCUGAGAGGAUGACCAGCCACACUGGAACUGAGACACGGUCCAGACUCCUACGGGAGGCAGCAGUGGGGAAUAUUGCACAAUGGGCGCAAGCCUGAUGCAGCCAUGCCGCGUGUAUGAAGAAGGCCUUCGGGUUGUAAAGUACUUUCAGCGGGG
rnacentral:rRNA from 1 species